rnacentral:piRNA from 1 species
UUGGAAAACGGUGGCGCGAUU